UGUGAGAUCAUGACCUACGCCAUAAUCAGGACUGACUGAGCUGCCCAGGCACCCCUCAAACUGUGUUCUAUGGAGCCUCCAGAGUUGCCUACAAUACUGCCUGAUUCCAACAGCACCACCCUCCCGGUUGUGAUAACCAGCAAUGUCUUCACACACUGCUAAAUAUCAUCGGGGGACCAAAUUAAUCCUACCUAAGAACCAUUUAGAUGACUCCCAAAUAAAGAAUCUCUAGUUCAUCCUUAGAACCCCAGCCUAGUGACCUAAUAUAAACAGACUGAACCAGGGAAGCAUCUACCAACCUAUGGAGACACAUAAAGUUCCUUAGGAAGAAGAGGACAAACAAUGAUGAAGUCAUGGAAGCUUUUGUGGGGCCACUGGCACUUAUCAACACAGACAAACUAUUGAUAAAGACUGUAGACUGCUGAGGGCAGUGGUCUAGUCAACUUUGGGCUUUCUGGAAUAGAAGUACUCAAAUCUGGCUGUGCAUCUAAAUCCACUUGAAUUCUUACAAAACAAUACAGAUACCUAAAUAUCAA